rnacentral:lncRNA from 1 species
CGAAGGCAUAGGGAGAAAAAAUGCUUCCAUCCCCCUUUCACUUUAAACUUGAUCGCUUCUGGGACUUCACUGGAGGGCGGUGGAGUUGCACCAACCUGGAGUACAGGCAGAUCCCAGCGAGCACUUCCAAGUACUUUAGGACGUGGGGGUGACUCCUUUUUCUUCAGGAUUGUCCCACUUGCCACCCUUUCCAGCUGAGCUGAUAGGAACCAAUGAAAGUCUAGGCGAUGAGGAUUUUCCGUUACCUUAGGGAUGAAAGUAUAAAAUGUUGAAUGAGAAACCCGAAGACCUUGCAUCGCUGGGCUGAAUAACUUUUUGUUUUCUUUUUUAUGGUGUCCAGACUGAGGUCAUUUUUCUGAGGACCAAUGGUGAUAAGUGUUGGUUUGCCUAUCUUCCCAGAAUAAUCCAAGAUUUGGGGAAAGAAAGAGUAUUUUGCUAAUUUCAGGCAGGUGGCCACAAGUCGGC